AGGACGCCACCGGAUAAACACCAGUAAACAGAGGUGGGGAGGCUCGCACACAGGCGGUGCUAACGCAGCUCCUCCGAGAGAAACACGGCGGAGCCAAGGCACCAGGUCACUUAAAUCUCUCCAAAUUUCAGGGGAGCCUUGACAACACCUCAGGUCAGUAUUUUGGACUAUUAACCAACACUUUUCCCCCUAGCAUUUCCUCCUUCCAUACUUUGUCGCUUUCCUUCUCCUGCACCCAAAUUCUGCCCUGUGUCAUUGUCUCAGGGGAGGGGUAUGACCUCAGAGCAGAAGGAGGAGAUUCCCGGCUUUGAGUUGAAAACUCCUGGGCCGUAAGGCUGCAGCAAGGGCCACGCUAGUGAAAUCUGGAAGACAACAAGAGCAAGAGCAAUGACUCCAUCCCUCCAAUUUGAAGGGAAGGCUCCGUCUGACGGGUGUGGGUGGGAAGCUGAGGAGAGAGUCAGGAGCCACAAGAGCACACACAGCGGUGGUUUCACAGAGGGACACAGAGAGCUUUGGGGACCUCCGAGCAGAGGGGAUCUGGGUCCCAUUACAGAGAGCCCUGGGAAGUGGCAAGACUCCAAGGAAGGGAAAUGGCUUCAUGGAAUGUUCCAGCAGCAAGGUCUUAGCCAGCCUUACAGAGAUUUCCCACACACCAGGAUGGCCCCGAAGAAUAAAAAUCACCCCGCCAUUCCCAAGAGCAACAGGAGGCUAGAGAAGAAGAGAGACCAGCAAGGGGAGAAAGGCCGUCUCCACCACAACCUGCCUGGACAAUGAACAAGGACAAGCAUAGUGAUGGACAUCACAAAUGACAUUGAAGACCAGAUACCUGGACACCAUUUAAGCUUCCAGGAAAUUAGAUGCCACCAUGGAAAAGAGAGACAACUCAGGACCUCUGAGCAGGGGCAAAGCUAGCCAGGACGAUGCAGGUGGCCCUUCCCCUCCAUACCUCAUACAACUUGGCUCACAUGGCCUCUUUGGGGGUCUGAAAAAGAUGCCCCUCUGGGCUGAGCAGCCCCACAAUCUCACAACUUGUUAAGUGGAGCAUGGAUUGACUUUCAGCUUCUACUGACCCUUUGGGCCAGGCACACUUGUUCAGUGAACAAUCAGCCCAACCAUACAUGGCAGCUGUGACCACAGACAUUGUCUUUAUCUGAGUCUCACAGGAAGCCUUAUGAGACAAGCAGGGCGGAUACUGUUGCUCCAUUUUGAUGAGGAGAAAACUGGGGCCCAGAGAUGUGUCAAGGUCACACAGCAAGUAAACAGGAGCACCAGUGCUCACCAAGUCCUUUGCACUUCCCGCCUCAUCUCUGUCAGUAGGAAACAGCCCAGGGGACUAGUCCCCACGUUGCUGUUCUUUGGCUCCUAGCCAACCACUUGUAGCUAGAUAAGGGACCCCAGACUUGUCUGAAAGUUCUGGGCCUUUCUGCUCCCAUCUGUACUGUGAAAUGCUUUUUGUCACGUCUGAGCCCAUUUUCCUGCCUUAAUUAGCAAAACGUGAUGACUUGUUUUUGACACUGAAGAAUUGCUCUGGGACCCUCCGUUCGCCCUGUGGGUACAGACACGAGGCUCAGCACGUCUGAUCCCAGGCAACUCAGGGCAUUUGUGGGUCGGGGACAAUUUUGUCCUGGAUUCAUAGUAACAACUUUCAGUUAUUGUUUUCUUUUUCUCCUUCUCCUAAAGAGGAUUUGAAAUAAACACAAGUUAAUUGAAAGGUACAUUUGGAGGCACAAAGGAGGUCUUUCUGGAUUUCAGGGAUGAGGAGGUCAGGGCUCUGAGAGGGCUGGAGCACCCCAUCUUUCAGUUCAUUUCAGUUCUGCAAGCUCCCCCUCCUGGGUCACGCCCGGCCAUCCCACCUCUCAGCUCCGGCGCAGAGCAAGCUCCUCGGCCCAAUCAUGCUCUACGUGACGAUCAUCCCCCAUCCUUUGCUCCCCACCCCACCCCGUUCCACGUCCCUCUUGGCUGCUUGGCUCCGGCAUCAUCAGCUGAACUGUUCCUGCCCAGCUGCACCUGAGGAGAGGAGCCGCAUCCGCUCCUGCACUUGCUUUCCAUGAUGAGUCUCUGCACUUGGAGCUGAUGCUGCAGUGGGAUGAGCCUUUGGGGGCCUUGGGGAGGGGGAGUGUGUUUCUGCACGUGGGAGGGUCACACAUCAUCGGGGGAGGAGGGAGCGCUGUAGGUGUUAGCCUCUCGCCUCCUGAUCGUCGUGCCCUGGCUAGUCCCCUCACACAUUGAAUGAGGACUGACCCUUGUGACAAAACAGCAGAAGUGAUAGGAUGUGACUUCCAAGGGUAGAGCAUCAUAGGCAUUGCUGCCUCUGCCUUGGCCUCUUGAAUCCCUUGCCCUGGGGGAAGCCAGCAGCCAUGUCCUGUGGAUGCUCAAGCAGCCUCGUGGAGACACCCACGUGGAGAGGAGCUGGGACCUGCCACCAAAAGCCAUUGAGCCACCUUGAAACUGGAUCUUCAAGCCCCAGUCCAGCCUUCAUAUGAGUAUGGCCCAACCAACAUCUGACUGCAACCUCACAGGAGACCGCAAGCUAGACCUGCCUAGCCAAGGCACUCCUGAAUUCCUGAGCCACAGAAACUGUGAGAGCUGAUAGGUGAUUACUGUCAUUUUAAACCACUUGUUAUGCAGUAUUUGGUCACUAAUACAUCAUUACCCACUAUCAGAAGUUCCA
ensembl:lncRNA